AAUAAUGCUAUUAUUUUUUUUCGGUUUUAUUCUUAAUUAAUAGAAGGUGAUUUUUAUUUUAUUAAAAUAUUGGGUGAAAUCUUAUUUUUUAUAUAAUUAAUUUUUUGAUUAUGAGAUUAAGAAAUCUAGAUGUUAAACUGGGAUUAGAUACCCCACUAUUCUAGAUGUUGAUAAUUAGACCUGAUGAAUAUAAGUUAUGUUCUUUAAAAUCAAAAAAUUUGGCGGUUUUCUAUUCCAAUCAGGGGAAUCUGUCCUGUAAUCGAUAGUCCACGAUUAAUAAAACUUUUAUUUUGCUUGUAUAUCGUCGUUGUUAAUUAUUUUUGGAAAUAUAUAAUUUGAAUAUAAGAUUGUAUUGAAUAUCAGAUCAAGGUGCAGCUUAUAAAAGUAGAGAUGGAUUACAAUAAAUUUAUUUUAGGAUAAGUUUUAGCAUUAUAAUUUAAAAUUUGGAUUUGAAUGUAAUUUUAAUUGUUAAUUAAAGUGAAUUAGGCUCUAGAAUGUGU
rnacentral:rRNA from 1 species